GUACGGGGGGAAUAGGGCGGUACCUUGACGGUACCUAACAAAUACCACAGCUAACUACGUGCCAGCAGCCGCGGUAUACAUAAGUGGCAAGCGUUGUCCGGAAUUAUUGGGCGUAAAGGGCUCGCAGGCGGUUUCUUAAGUCUGAUGUGAAAGCCCCCGGCUCAACCGGGGAGGGUCAUUGGAAACUGGGGAACUUGA
rnacentral:rRNA from 1 species